rnacentral:rRNA from 1 species
AUGCCGGAACUCAUAAUUAUUGGGGCUGAAAUUGCACAGCAGCUGAAAGGGUUACCUCUGGCAGCUAGCACAGUGGGAGGUCAUCUACAUAAAAGACAAAGUGAUGUCGACUUUUGGAGAGAAGUUCGAGAUUGUGACCUUCUGAAUGAGACGACGGGGGCCCUGUGGUGGAGUUACCAACAUCUUGAUGAGCAGGUGCGGCGAUGCUUUGCGUACUGCAGUAUUUUUCCCAAAAGAUAUGGUUUGAACCAAGAUGAGUUAGUUAAACUGUGGGUGGCAGAGGGGUUCAUACAGACCACUAAUGCAGAGGAGGACAUGGAAGCUAUUGGUCAGCAUUACUUCCAUGAGUUACUCGCAACCUCAUUUGUGCAUGGAUACUACCAAGGUAGUUUGUGCUAUUUAGUCCACGAUCUUAUGCAUGAUUUAGCCGAGAAUGCAACAGGGAGUGAUUGCUUCAGAACCGAGAAUGGCUCCAGAAGAGAAGUUCCUCAUGAUGUUCGCCAUCUUUUUGUUGCAAAUGGAGGAAUUGUUACUGAGGAGUUUUUUAAACUGAAAAACCUACGCACUCUCGUUAUUGAUUAUAUGGAGCUUGCACCGGCUAACAAAGAAUUCUUUGAGAAAGUGUUUGAGAAGCUACAGAAAUUACGGGUACUGACCAUAGAAACCUCCUGGACAUUGAUCGAUGAAACAAGUGUCUUUUCAAAUACAUGUAGCUAUUGGUCAUUUAAAGCAUCUUCGGUAUCUUGCUUUAGUGUUCUACGAAGCAGCGCUAUAUUGACCAAAAAAAAGUAG